GAUGAACGCUGGCGGCGUGCUUAACACAUGCAAGUCGAACGAUGAAGCCCAGCCUGCUGGGCGGAUUAGUGGCGAACGGGUGAGUAACACGUGAGUAACCUGCCCUUGACUCUGGGAUAAGCCCGGGAAACUGGGUCUAAUACCGGAUAGGAGCGCCUGUCGCAUGACGGGUGCUGGAAAGAUUUUUCGGUCAUGGAUGGACUCGCGGCCUAUCAGCUUGUUGGUGAGGUAACGGCUCACCAAGGCGACGACGGGUAGCCGGCCUGAGAGGGUGACCGGCCACACUGGGACUGAGGCACGGCCCAGACUCCUACGGGAGGCAGCAGUGGGGAAUAUUGCACAAUGGGCGGAAGCCUGAUGCAGCGACGCCGCGUGAGGGAUGACGGCCUUCGGGUUGUAAACCUCUUUCAGUAGGGAAGAAAGCGAAAAGUGACGUACCUGCAGA
rnacentral:rRNA from 1 species